rfam:Crinalium epipsammum PCC 9333, complete genome.
GUUUAAAUGCACCUAAAUCCCUUUUAGGGAUUGAAAC